GAGUUUGAUCAUGGCUCAGAACGUACGCUGGCGGCACGCCUAACACAUGCAAGUCGAACGAAGUAGCAAUACUUAGUGGCAGACGGGUGAGUAACAUGUAGGUAUCUUCCCUUUGGCCUGGAAUAACACGAGGAAACUUGUGCUAAUACUGGAUAAGUCUUUACAGAGAAAGCUUUAUGCACCAUUGGAUGAGCCUGCACUUGAUUAGUUAGUUGGCAGGGUAAAAGCCUACCAAGACUUUGAUCAAUAGCUGAUUUGAGAGGAUGAUCAGC
rnacentral:rRNA from 1 species